GAUGAAGAACGCAGCGAAAUGCGAUAAGUAAUGUGAAUUGCAGAAUUCAGUGAAUCAUCGAAUCUUUGAACGCACAUUGCGCCCCCUGGUAUUCCGGGGGGCAUGCCUGUUCGAGCGUCAUUUCACCACUCAGGCCUCGCUUGGUAUUGGGCAACGCGGUCCGCCGCGUGCCUCAAAUCGUCCGGCUGGGUCUUCUGUCCCCUAAGCGUUGUGGAAACUAUUCGCUAAAGGGUGUUCGGGAGGCUACGCCGUAAAACAACCCCAUUUCUAAGGUUGACCUCGGAUCAGGUAGGGAUACCCGCUGAACUUAAGCAUAUCAAUAAGCGGAGGA
rnacentral:misc_RNA from 1 species